CUGCGGUAAAAGAUUCAUUCUGACUCUUCUCAGACUGAACACUUGUAUACAAUGGAUCUUCACUCAGUUAUUCUGCUGUGUGUCUCAGCUGCUUCUGUCUUUGGAAAUGUCAUCAAACCAAACAAAACCAAUGUUUUUGCUGAGGAGGGUUCAAGUGUUACAUUAUCCUGUAGUUUUACUGACUCUAGCUCUACAGAAUAUCUCCACUGGUAUCGUCAGUAUGGAAGUUCAAAACCUGAAUUUAUUGUCCUCACCUAUGACUAUGCAGAAUUGGUUCAGCGCUCUGAUGUAGAUCCAAGAUUUACUGCUAAUGUAACAAACAAGGAACGUGUGGAUCUGAUCAUCUCCUCUGCUGCUGUAUCAGACUCUGCUCUGUACUACUGUGCUCUGGCGCCCACAGUGACAGGAAACACAAGAACACUGUACAAAAAACCUGUUACAAUGAGAGGCGAGAGAGAGAAUUUAUAUAAUCUAAUGUAAAAAGGAUCAAAACAUAAAA